AUGAUGAAGCACCUCACUGCAGUGUUCGCUUCUUUACUCGUGGUCGCCGGCCUCGCCACCACGGCUGCCGGCGUGAGGUUCGAGGCAACGAACAACGCGUCGACGACCCCCGGCGGGCAGCGCUUCGACGAGGAAUACGGCGUGGGCUACGCGGUGCAGGUCAUGUCGGAGGCCUCCUUCUUCGUCUGGAAAAUCUUCAACCAGACGGCGCCCGAGGACCGCAGAGCCGCCAUGGACGACCGCGUCAAGCUCGUCGUCAACUUCAUAAACACCAACAUCCUCGCCUUCGAACGCGACAGCGAGAGCAGCAUCACGCUCAACGCCGGCUACGUCAACAACAUCACCGGCGACGUGAGGACGCUGGUGACGGGGCUGCUGUACCACGAGGUGACGCACGUGUGGCAAUGGGGGCAGCAGGACACGAACCAGACCCACAGUUGGAUCUACGAGGGGGUCGCCGACUUCGUCCGGCUCCGUGCGGGCUAUGCGGCGCCGUACUGGUUGCAGCCGGGGCAGGGGGACAGCUGGGACACGGGCUAUGACGUGACGGCGUGGUUCCUGGACUACUGCGACCAGUUGAGGCCGGGGUUCGUGGCGGUGCUCAACCAGAGGCUCAAGGACGGCUACAGCGACGACGACUUCCUGCAGAUUAUGGGCAAAUCGGUGCAAGAGCUGUGGAGGGAUUACAAGGCCAAGUACGGUGGCUAG
rnacentral:rRNA from 1 species